UACGGGGGGAGCAAGCGUUGUUCGGAUUUACUGGGCGUAAAGGGCGCGUAGGCGGUCAGCACAAGUCAGUUGUGAAAUCUCCGGGCUUAACUCGGAAAGGUCAACUGAUACUGUGCGACUAGAGUGCGGAAGGGGCAACUGGAAUUCUCGGUGUAGCGGUGAAAUGCGUAGAUAUCGAGAGGAACACCUGCGGCGAAGGCGGCGAUCUGGGAAGAUACUGACGCUGAGGUGUGAAAGCGUGGGGAGCAAACAGG
rnacentral:rRNA from 1 species